rnacentral:lncRNA from 1 species
UUUUUUUUUUUCAUUUUGCUCUGGAUUAGGUGUGAUUUUUUUAAACAGUUAAUUAGAAGAUAAUAAUGUGAGUGAGCUUAUUGUUAAUUAUUUGUAUCUGUACUUAAUACUUAUAAGUGUGCUCAGUUCUUGCGAGCUACUGUUUGGCUUGUCAAAUGUGUUCGUCAUUAUAAUUAACUGAGCCCAUGUACAUUUACUGGUGCUGCGAGUAGAGUUAUGGGAACAGCAGCAGAUAUGAAAUGUCUCCACCAACCUGCACUUGUCCCUAGAAUGAGAACUUUGGGGGAAUCAGAUCCUCUGGUGACAUUCAUUCUUUACCUGUCUGGCUUAUUUCCUCACUCCUCCUGAGAUGGUCUUCUCUGUGACUUCCACAUCCUCUCUCUAGUGGCUUCCUAUUAAUUUCAUUUGUACCACCAGGCCCAGCUGCAUUGUCUGUGGAGUUUGGUGCAAAAUAAAAACAUGGAUCCCCUUGGUCAAGAAUUACGAGGAAUUUCAAGAUGGCAACAGCAGAGCAUUAAACUCCAUGUGGGGCUCUGGGGACUGUAUAGGUUGCACCCACAUGAAGCCAGCACUGCAGACCCUGAUUGCCUUUGCCUUUGCCUUUGCCUUUUGGGAAAGUACCCUAUCCCUCUUCUCUACAGCUGGAACAGUGCCCAGCACCCCAGACGGGCCCAAGAAAUGAGCAAAAGUGUUUUCCAAAUGCAAGCUUGAAAAAUGCAGAGGGUAAUCAUGGACUUCCCUUGUCCUCCUGUGGGAGAACUUCCUGGAGGAAUAGAAAUGUUCUCUAUCGAUGCAGGGGUGGUGGCCACAGGGUAAACCCUGGUCAAACACAUCAGACUUUAGGGGACUGGGACUGCGUUACACUAUGUAUCAUUACACUUCAAGUAAGAAAUAGCAUACCCGGGGUUUUCCCGGUGGCCCAGCAGUUAAGGAUCCAGCCUUGUCAUAGCUGUGGCUUGGGUUUGAACCCUGGCCCAGGAACUUCCACAUGCCACAGGUGCAGCCAAAAAAAUAAAUAAAAGAAAGAAAGAAAGAAAGAAAGAAAGAAAGAAAGAAAGAAAGAAAGAGGAUACCUUAAAAAACCCCAAUGGCUCCAUAUUACUUCAAGGUAAAGUCUAUUUUUGUCACAUGUCCCACAGUGGCCUUCCCUGGGGGGCCAUUCGUCGUUUUCCAGCAUUACUUCCAGCUCUUCUACCAAUCCAUUUUCUAGGCAUGCUGGGUGCCAGCACGCCCACCUCUGUGCCUUCUUACUCCUGGUGGCCCAGAAGUGAAAAAUCUAAUACUAACCACCAGUAGACACUGACAUUGGCACCAGUGGAAAGGACUGAGGAGCUGGAGUGGAGCCCAGAACUUCCAGCUGGACCGGGUAUUAACCCCUUCAUUUCUGCAUUGGCAAGUAGAGUCCCAGGGGAUUGGGGGGGGGCAUUUGGUGGGCUGAGGGCACUGGCUAUUUACCAAUGGCUAUUUACCAAAAAAUCGGCUAUUUACCAAUCAAAGAUGUUACCUGACACAACCAGUUUGGCACGUACCUCCUGAACUUCGACUCACUGCCUACUAUUUGAGCCAGCCUCUCUUCUGGCUGACACCUUUCUCCUUCUAUAACUCUAUAAUAGCAUUUACCAUACUGUCCUAAGUGAAUUGACAUCUUUCUCCAUCUCUUUAAGGCUGAGACUGCAUCUCCCUAUUCCCAAAGUCUAGCAAGGUGCCUGACACACACAGACUUGGGCACAGACAGGAGUGAAGGGGUUUUCUUGUUGGCUUUUCUGGCACGUGGGGAAGACACAGCUAUACGUGUGUGGAUGGAUGAAUGAAUGUGUGAAUGAAUGAAUGAGUGAGCUCAUCUUUACCUUAUCUAUAUUUCCUUUAAUCGAGGCAAUGCAGUUUGGAAAGAGGGUAUCACAGCAGCGAAGAUCUCAGACUCAGGACCUCUGGAGAGGUCCUACACUUGCUGAUUGGCAUGCCUGGGCAAGCAACUGGACCUCCAGGAGCAUUACAUCAGGUCAGCAUUGAUCUGGCUUCACAGGGUUGUUGAGAAGCUCAAAUGAGACAAUACCUGCAAAGCACUUAGCCAUCAGCAGCUCUGAAUGAAAAGGAAGUUGGAUCUUGGAGUUCCUGUUGUGGUGCAGGAAUCUGACUAGGAACCAUGAGGUUGCAGGGGAAAGGCUUAGCCUACUCAAGACAACAGUUUUCAAGCAAGUUGACAACCACUUUGCUGGGGUUCCUUUAAUGAGCUAAUUACAAAGAGCUCUUAGGUGUUCUCUGCAGCCAGUCCUGAAGGAGCUCUGUUUAAGAAACACUGAAUGAGUCAUUAGCACCUGAAAUACUAUAAACACUAUAGACUCUUAGAAUUUAGAAUGAAAUGAAUGUAUCUGCCACUUCAGACUGAUCUGCAGCCCGCAGGACUUUUUCAGUUGCAAACAACAGAAAACCAACUCAAACUGGCUUAAACAGAAAGGAAUGCUUGUUAGCUUUAGGCAGGACUGAAUCCUUGUGCUUAAACGAUGUCAGCAGGAAUCUGACUUUGUCCAUUUCCUGACUUUCCUUCCUUUGUGUUUGCUCUGCUCUCAGGAAAGGCUUGCCUAAACGAUGUUAAAGGUGUUCCUGGAACUUUCAGCCUUAUAGUCUACCAGCUUAGCAACCCAGCAGAAAGACAGUUCUUAUUUUCAAUACUUCCACCAAAAAUUCCGGUCUAAGAGUCUUUGGCUCUGAUUGGCCAAGCUUGGGUCACAUGUUCAUCUCUGAGCCAAUUCCAGUGGCCAGAACAAUGCCCUACUCUAAUUAGUCAGGACUGGGUCAUGCCUACCUCUAAAGCCAAGACAUGGCAGGCCCACUUGGAACCGCAAGGAUCGGGGGCGGGGGUGGGGGGCAUUUUCCCAGAGAAAUAUCCAGAUUCUGAUGCCAGACCAUGGGGGCUGGGGUACAGAGGGGGUGGAUGCUGGGCAGGCAAAACCAAUGAAUGUCCUUGGAAUCUUCUCUCUAAACAACAAGCAAGUGUUGUCAAGCAGAAGAACUUUACGAGCAAAAUUUAGAUAUUUGCUUAGAUAUCUGAGGUUUAAAACAUGACCUGUAUUGGCUACAACAUUUUGGAAAUAUUUUCUGCAAAUUACACUCACCCACAUGGCUUGAAGUUUGGGGUUUUUUCUUUCUAUCUUUCUGUUUGUUUGUUUUUUUUCUCUAAUUCUCAGAACAAGUCCUUAAGAAAAAGAGGAACAGAAAUGCCACAGAAUGAUUCAAAACAGACGACACUGAGAGUAGACAGAGAUGGCAAAUUAACACACUGUUGACAUUCCUCCUGUCCUGAUGACAUUUCUUAUGUUGAAUAAUAUUCUCAGGGUUCCUUUCUGCCUUUCCAUUUUUAUGCUGAUGACUUUGUUCCUAAUUACAAAAGCAGUAUCUACCUAAUUCAGGAAAAUUUGAACACAUCCAGAAAAUGCCACAGUGAACACACAUGCACACAAACACACACACACCAUUGGCCACCACUUUAGUUAGAAACAUCUAUUUAACAAGUACCAUGCCCAGCGCACAUUCCAGAAACUAUCCUAACCCCAUUUCACAGAUGAGGAAGCUGAGGCUUAUAGCAUUCAAGCUGAUGUGUUGUGGAGCGGAGAAUUGAACUCUUGUCUGUGUGACCUCCAAGACCUCAUCCUUAUCCCCUCUAUUACUCCUCUACUCUAUCCUAUUACCUAAAUAUUUCCAAAAUUAACCUUACAAAAAUGGUGUAUUGUACAUAAUGUUUUAAUGGCCUGCACGCUCCUUCCUUCCUUCCUUUUUCUUUCUCUCCCUUUCUUUUCUUUCUUUCUUCCUUUCUUUCUUCCUUCCUUCCUUCCUUCCUUCCUUCCUUCCUUCCUUCCUUUCUUUCUUUUUCUUUCUUUCUUUCUUUCUUUGUUUCUUUCUUUCUUUCUUU